CUCCAGACUCCUACGGGAGGCAGCAGUGAGGAAUAUUGGUCAAUGGACGCAAGUCUGAACCAGCCAUGCCGCGUGCAGGAUGACGGCUCUAUGAGUUGUAAACUGCUUUUGUACGAGGGUAAACCCCGAUACGUGUAUCGGGUUGAAAGUAUCGUACGAAUAAGGAUCGGCUAACUCCGUGCCAGCAGCCGCGGUAAUACGGAGGAUCCGAGCGUUAUCCGGAUUUAUUGGGUUUAAAGGGUGCGUGGGCGGAAUGCCAAGUCAGCGGUAAAAGCGCGGGGCUCAACCGCGCUCCGCCGUUGAAACUGGCGUUCUUGAGUGGGCGAGAAGUAUGCGGAAUGCGUGGUGUAGCGGUGAAAUGCAUAGAUAUCACGCAGAACUCCGAUUGCGAAGGCAGCAUACCGGCGCGCAACUGACGCUCAUGCACGAAAGCGUGGGUAUCGAACAGGAUUAGAUACCCGUGUA
rnacentral:rRNA from 1 species